UACGUAGGGUGCAAGCGUUGUCCGGAAUUACUGGGCGUAAAGCGUGCGUAGGUGGUUUGUUAAGUCUGCUGUGAAAGCCCCGGGCUCAACCUGGGAAUGGCAGUGGAUACUGGCAAGCUAGAGUGCGGUAGAGGGUAGUGGAAUUCCCGGUGUAGCGGUGAAAUGCGUAGAGAUCGGGAGGAACACCAGUGGCGAAGGCGGCUACCUGGACCAGCACUGACGCUGAGGCACGAAAGCGUGGGGAGCAAACAGG
rnacentral:rRNA from 1 species